rnacentral:lncRNA from 10 species
CCAGGCACGAGUGUUGGCAACAAACAGGCUUCUCUCGUCCUGCUCCUGCCCCGCCAGCAGCUGGCACAGAGAGGGGCUCAUCUCAGCAGCUUUACCUCUUGGAAGCACCUCGCUCCACCCUGCCUUGGAUCCACGUGUUGCCAGCUGUGAGCCAGAUGGAGAAAUGUAGCCACUCUGAGAGAUCCGGUGGCUGCCCCAACCUGUGUCAGUAACUCAGUUUCCCUUCUCCAAGACUUGCCUUGAGUGGAUGACAAGGGGGAGAGAACUGGGGGAGGGCCCCACAGAGGCGCUGCAAGAAAUCCAGAUCCCAGGCGACACCUGCUGCCUUGCCUGCUGCCCCCGCAGAAUCCCUGCAUCUGGAGCCACCCACCUGGAGGAACUCAUCGGGCUUCCUCUGUAGACGGGAAAAAACAAACGCACCACAAACCGACAAUCAAAGCCAUGGCGGAUGCGGGGCCGCCACCAGUUCAUCUCCCUGGAGCCAGGCGGCUCCAGGCCUCUCUCACCUUUCUUGUGUGGAACGCAGGCUUGCAAUGUUCUGAGCCCACCUGUCCUCGGGCUAGUCCCAUUUUCAAAAGUUCUGAGUACGCAGGUGAGAAGACACCCCCACAAAACCCCAAAACUAGCCUUAGGCUGUUUUUCCCCAACACAACGCACCUCCACACCCCACACCGCCAGCAGCCCACCUGGGUACCCAAAGUGAGCCGCCAGGGGGUUCCGAGGACCCUGCCUGGUGCCUUCCAGCUCAUAAGGAGAGGCCAAGAGCCAUGGGGAGGAAGCCACACGGCCCAG